GAUGAACGCUGGCGGCGUGCCUAAUACAUGCAAGUCGAGCGCACAGAUAAGGAGCUUGCUCCUUUGACGUUAGCGGCGGACGGGUGAGUAACACGUGGGUAACCUACCUAUAAGACUGGAAUAACUCCGGGAAACCGGGGCUAAUGCCGGAUAACAUUUAGAACCGCAUGGUUCUAAAGUGAAAGAUGGUUUUGCUAUCACUUAUAGAUGGACCCGCGCCGUAUUAGCUAGUUGGUAAGGUAACGGCUUACCAAGGCAACGAUACGUAGCCGACCUGAGAGGGUGAUCGGCCACACUGGAACUGGGACACGGUCCAGACUCCUACGGGAGGCAGCAGUAGGGAAUCUUCCGCAAUGGGCGAAAGCCUGACGGAGCAACGCCGCGUGAGUGAUGAAGGUCUUCGGAUCGAAAAACUCUGUUAUUAGGGAAGAACAAAUGUGUAAGUAACUGUGCACGUCUUGACGGUACCUAAUCAGAAAGCCACGGCUAACUACGUG
rnacentral:rRNA from 1 species